rnacentral:rRNA from 1 species
AUUGAACGCUAGCGGGAUGCCUUACACAUGCAAGUCGAACGGCUUGGGGAACGGGUGCGUAAUGUAUCGGACCGUGCCCAGUCGCGGGGGAUAACUACGCGAACGCGUAGCUAAUACCGCUUCCUCUUGCAACGGCCGGUAGCGGAUUAGCUAGUUGGUGGGGUAACGGCUCACCAAGGCGACGAUCCGUAGCUGGUUUGAGAGGACGACCAGCCACACUGGGACUGAGACACGGCCCAGACUCCUACGGGAGGCAGCAGUGGGGAAUUUUGGACAAUGGGGGAAACCCUGAUCCAGCCAUCCCGCGUGUGUGAUGAAGGCCUUCGGGUUGUAAAGCACUUUUGGCAGGAAAGCGGUACCUGCAGAAUAAGCACCGGCUAACUACGUGCCAGCAGCCGCGGUAAUAC